CAUUUGUCAUGGAGUGAUAAUUCUCAUGUUAUGUUGGUAGAAAUUAGUAUGCUGGACGGCGGUGGAUGGAUGCAUAUUGGACCAAUGGAUCUCCAUCAUGAAGUACUUUAAUUUUUAAAAACACUAGAAUAUUUAUUAACAGUUGAUUAUUAUUAUUUUUAAAUUUAGACUCAAUUGUGAGUCACGUCAUAACUUUCAAUUAGUCCUAUUUUUAUUAUUUGUUAGAACUACUUUUAUUAAUGUUUGAUAAAAGAUAUGAUUCCAAAUUGUUCUGCAUAUGUUAUUUAAUUUAAUUUACCUUUUG